rnacentral:misc_RNA from 1 species
CGCCGGGGGCCCUCUGGGUCCUCGGGUCCGCGCCCGCCGAAGCGCCUCAUGAACCCUGAUGAAGAUGGGCUGUCUGAGUUUAAUAUGAAAAUUGUCAAAACUUUCAACAAUGGAUCUCUUGGUUCCGGCAUCGAUGAAGAACGCAGCGAAAUGCGAUAAGUAAUGUGAAUUGCAGAAUUCCGUGAAUCAUCGAAUCUUUGAACGCACAUUGCGCCCCCUGGCAUUCCGGGGGGCAUGCCUGUCCGAGCGUCAUUUCUGCCCUCAAGCACGGCUUGUGUGUUGGGUGUGGUCCCUCCUGGCGGGGGGACCUGCCCGAAAGGCAGCGGCGACGUCGCGUCCGGUCCUCGAGCGUAUGGGGCUUUGUCACUCGCUCGGGAAGGACCUGCGCGCGUCUGUCACAACUGUAUUUUUU